rnacentral:rRNA from 1 species
UAGUAAUCGCGGAUCAGCAUGCCGCGGUGAAUACGUUCCCGGGCCUUGUACACACCGCCCGUCACACCAUGGGAGCCGGUAAUACCCGAAGUCAGUAGUCCAACCUCGUGAGGACGCUGCCGAAGGUAGGAUUGGCGACUGGGGUGAAGUCGUAACAAGGUAAC